UACAGAGGCGUCAAGCGUUGUCCGGAAUUACUGGGCGUAAAGCGCGUGUAGGCGGGGAUGCAAGUCUGAUGUGAAAGCCCUGGGCUUAACCUGGGAAGUGCAUUGGAAACUGCAUUUCUUGAGUACUGGAGAGGAAGGGGGAAUUCCCGGUGUAGAGGUGAAAUUCGUAGAGAUCGGGAGGAAUACCAGUGGCGUAGGCGCCCUUCUGGACGGUAACUGACGCUGAGACGCGAAAGCGUGGGGAGCAAACAGG
rnacentral:rRNA from 1 species